CUGUCACUCAUCUGUCCUUUACCUGGGAUUGAUGAUGAAACACUCCAGUCCAGACCUCCGUGUGGGAGACACUUCCAGGAAACAAUGCAGAUAAUUUCCCUCUGCUGGCCAACGCACCGUCCCCAUCUGCCACAGACUGAAACCUGUAGUGAGGAAUCAGAGAGAAUUUGAGUCAGACAGUCUUUGCUGGGAGGCACGGCCACGGAAAUCAGAACACGAGUGUUCACUCAGGUGGGAAGCUGUGUGUGUGGAGAAAGGGACAAGAACAUGAAAUAAAUUGUGGUGUACUUUUUUUUCAAUAAUGGCUGCUGAUGAUAACUGUAAGCAAAAAGGCAGAACACAAGGACUGCAGUGGAAAAGGGGCGUGUUGCUUUCUGAAACUCACAAUGCCUUCAACUGUAACUUCAGCCUCGUCUGACUUCACGUCGAGCUCCUCCUGUGUCAUCUAACACUGAGCGUUCUGCUCACUGCCAUCUUGGCGCUGUGCAUCAAAUCCAUAUGGAGCAAACGCUUUACAGUGAAAACACUCCAACCCCCGAGAUGUCGUGAAAUGCUCCAAAGAUGGACACACUCCGCUGCACACGCAGACCCCCGAUACGCCUAUUAAUGUAAGUACAGCUGCAGACAACAGCUUUGUUCUCCCCUAUCACCUUUUUCUUUUCUAUUCUUUUCUUUUUUCUUUCAUUUCUGCACUUAUUUUACAYCCAGCUGAAAAUGUCUGAGUGCCUUCGGAGUGCCAUGCUUCAAUUGUUUCACUUCUCUUUAGUGGGGAAACACAGCAGGGACAUGUCUUCCCUGGUGCUUUUAAAACCACUUACUAACUUCUGCACUCUGUGCACACAAAUGUUGAACUUGGAUACGCAUUAGCUUUGACCCUGCAUUGACAUGUUUCCUUAGUUCUCCUUAUGAAUGAAU